rnacentral:rRNA from 1 species
GACGAACGCUGGCGGCGUGCUUAACACAUGCAAGUCGAACGGAAAGGCCCUGCUUUUGUGGGGUGCUCGAGUGGCGAACGGGUGUGUAACACGUGAGUAACCUGCCCUUGACUUUGGGAUAACUUCAGGAAACUGGGGCUAAUACCGGAUAGGAGCUCCUGCUGCAUGGUGGGGGUUGGAAAGUUUCGGCGGUUGGGGAUGGACUCGCGGCUUAUCAGCUUGUUGGUGGGGUAGUGGCUUACCAAGGUUUUGACGGGUAGCCGGCCUGAGAGGGUGACCGGCCACAUGGGGACUGAGAUACGGCCCAGACGGCUACGGGAGGCAGCAGUGGGGAAUAUUGCACAAUGGGCGGAAGCCUGAUGCAGCAACGCCGCGUGCGGGAAGACGGCCUUCGGGUUGUAAACCGCUUUCGCCUGUGACGAAGCGUGAGUGACGGUAAUGGGUAAAGAAGCACCGGCUAACUACGUG